rnacentral:rRNA from 1 species
UACGGGGGGGGCAAGCGUUGUUCGGAAUUACUGGGCGUAAAGGGCUCGUAGGCGGCCAACUAAGUCAGACGUGAAAUCCCUCGGCUUAACCGGGGAACUGCGUCUGAUACUGGAUGGCUUGAGUUUGGGAGAGGGAUGCGGAAUUCCCGGUGUAGUGGUGAAAUGCGUAGAUAUCGGGAGGAACACCAGUGGCGAAGGCGACUACCUGGCCUGUUCUUGACGCUGAGGCGCGAAAGCUAGGGGAGCAAACGGG